GACGAACGCUGGCGGCGUGCUUAACACAUGCAAGUCGAACGGAAAGGCCCUGCUUUUGUGGGGUGCUCGAGUGGCGAACGGGUGAGUAACACGUGAGUAACCUGCCCUUGACUUUGGGAUAACUUCAGGAAACUGGGGCUAAUACCGGAUAGGAGCUCCUGCUGCAUGGUGGGGGUUGGAAAGUUUCGGCGGUUGGGGAUGGACUCGCGGCUUAUCAGCUUGUUUGUGGGGUAGUGGCUUACCAAGGCUUUGACGGGUAGCCGGCCUGAGAGGGUGACCGGCCACAUGGGGACUGAGAUAGGGAGCAGACGCCUACGGGAGGCAGCAGUGGGGAAUAUUGCACAAUGGGCGGAAGCCUGAUGCAGAAACGCCGCGUGCGGGAUGACGGCCUUCGGGUUGUAAACCGCUUUCGCCUGUGACGAAGCGUGAGUGACGGUAAUGGGUAAAGAAGCACCGGCUAACUACGUG
rnacentral:rRNA from 1 species